rnacentral:rRNA from 1 species
GACGAACGCUGGCGGCGUGCUUAACACAUGCAAGUCGAACGGAAAGGCCCUGCUUUUGUGGGGUGCUCGAGUGGCGAACGGGUGAGUAACACGUGAGUAACCUGCCCUUGACUUUGGGAUAACUUCAGGAAACUGGGGCUAAUACCGGAUAUGAGCUCCUGCUGCAUGUUGGGGGUUGGAAAGUUUCGGCGGUUGGGGAUGGACUCGCGGCUUAUCAGCUUGUUGGUGGGGUAGUGGCUUACCAAGGCUUUGACGGGUAGCCGGCCUGAGAGGGUGACCGGCGACAUGGGGACUGAGAUACGGAGCAGAAUCCUACGGGAGGCAGCAGUGGGGAAUAUUGCAGAAUGGGCGGAAGCGUGAUGCGGAAACGCCGCGUGCGGGAUGACGGCCUUCGGGUUGUAAACCGCUUUCGCCUGUGACGAAGAGUGAGUGGCGGUAAUGGGUAAAGAAGCACCGGCUAACUACGUG